rnacentral:rRNA from 1 species
UACGUAGGGGGCAAGCGUUGUCCGGAUUUAUUGGGCGUAAAGAGCGUGUAGGCGGCCACACAGGUCUGCUGUGAAAACUCGAGGCUCAACCUCGAGACGUCGGUUGAAACCGUAUGGCUAGAGUCCGGAAGAGGAGAGUGGAAUUCCCGGUGUAGCGGUGAAAUGCGCAGAUAUCGGGAAGAACACCCGUGGCGAAGGCGGCUCUCUGGGACGGUACUGACGCUGAGACGCGAAAGCGUGGGGAGCGAACAGG